rnacentral:rRNA from 1 species
CGAUGGAUAGGGGUUCUGAGAGGAAGGUCCCCCACAUUGGAACUGAGACACGGUCCAAACUCCUACGGGAGGCAGCAGUGAGGAAUAUUGGUCAAUGGACGAGAGUCUGAACCAGCCAAGUAGCGUGAAGGAUGACUGCCCUAUGGGUUGUAAACUUCUUUUAUACGGGAAUAAAGUUAGGCACGUGUGCCUUUUUGUAUGUACCGUAUGAAUAAGGAUCGGCUAACUCCGUGCCAGCAGCCGCGGUAAUACGGAGGAUCCGAGCGUUAUCCGGAUUUAUUGGGUUUAAAGGGAGCGUAGGCGGAUGCUUAAGUCAGUUGUGAAAGUUUGCGGCUCAACCGUAAAAUUGCAGUUGAUACUGGGUGUCUUGAGUACAGUAGAGGCAGGCGGAAUUCGUGGUGUAGCGGUGAAAUGCUUAGAUAUCACGAAGAACUCCGAUUGCGAAGGCAGCUUGCUGGACUGUAACUGACGCUGAUGCUCGAAAGUGUGGGUAUCAAACAGGAUUAGAUACCCUGGUAGUCCACACAGUAAACGAUGAAUACUCGCUGUUUGCGAUAUACAGUAAGCGGCCAAGCGAAAGCGUUAAGUAUUCCACCUGGGGAGUACGCCGGCAACGGUGAAACUCAAAGGAAUUGACGGGGGCCCGCACAAGCGGAGGAACAUGUGGUUUAAUUCGAUGAUACGCGAGGAACCUUACCCGGGCUUAAAUUGCAAAUGAAUGUUCUGGAAACAGAUCAGCCGCAAGGCAUUUGUGAAGGUGCUGCAUGGUUGUCGUCAGCUCGUGCCGUGAGGUGUCGGCUUAAGUGCCAUAACGAGCGCAACCCUUAUCGAUAGUUACCAUCAGGUUAUGCUGGGGACUCUGUCGAGACUGCCGUCGUAAGAUGUGAGGAAGGUGGGGAUGACGUCAAAUCAGCACGGCCCUUACGUCCGGGGCUACACACGUGUUACAAUGGGGGGUACAGAAGGCAGCUACACGGCGACGUGAUGCUAAUCCCUAAAACCUCUCUCAGUUCGGAUUGGAGUCUGCAACCCGACUCCAUGAAGCUGGAUUCGCUAGUAAUCGCGCAUCAGCCACGGCGCGGUGAAUACGUUCCCGGGCCUUGUACACACCGCCCGUCAAGCCAUGAAAGCCGGGGGUACCUGAAGUGCGUAACCGCGAGGAGCGCCCUAGGGUAAAACUGGUGAUUGGGGCUAAGUCGUAACAAGGUAGCCGUACCGGAAGGUGCGGCUGGACCCC